CCUACGGGAGGCAGCAGUAAGGAAUAUUGGACAAUGGGCGCAAGCCUGAUCCAGCCAUGCCGCGUGAAGGAUUAAGGUCCUCUGGAUUGUAAACUUCUUUUAUAGGGGACGAAAAAAGGGCAUUCUUGCUCACUUGACGGUACCCUAUGAAUAAGCACCGGCUAACUCCGUGCCAGCAGCCGCGGUAAUACGGAGGGUGCAAGCGUUAUCCGGAUUCACUGGGUUUAAAGGGUGCGUAGGCGGGCAGUUAAGUCAGUGGUGAAAUCUCCGAGCUCAACUCGGAAACUGCCAUUGAUACUAUCUGUCUUGAAUAUUGUGGAGGUAAGCGGAAUAUGUCAUGUAGCGGUGAAAUGCUUAGAUAUGACAUAGAACACCUAUUGCGAAGGCAGCUUACUACGCAUAUAUUGACGCUGAGGCACGAAAGCGUGGGGAUCAAACAGGAUUAGAUACCCUGGUAGUCCACGCCCUAAACGAUGGAUACUCGACAUACGCGAUACACUGUGUGUGUCUGNGNGAAGANAUAGUAUCCNCCGCGGAGUACGUCCGCGAGAGAGAACGUACAAAGAAGUAGUACGGACGUUGAGAGNGCGACGGACGACACGAGGGAGGAGGAGG
rnacentral:rRNA from 1 species